rnacentral:rRNA from 1 species
AUUGAACGCUGGCGGCAUGCCUUACACAUGCAAGUCGAACGGCAGCACGGGUGCUUGCACCUGGUGGCGAGUGGCGAACGGGUGAGUAAUACAUCGGAACAUGUCCUGUAGUGGGGGAUAGCCCGGCGAAAGCCGGAUUAAUACCGCAUACGAUCUACGGAUGAAAGCGGGGGACCUUCGGGCCUCGCGCUAUAGGGUUGGCCGAUGGCUGAUUAGCUAGUUGGUGGGGUAAAGGCCUACCAAGGCGACGAUCAGUAGCUGGUCUGAGAGGACGACCAGCCACACUGGGACUGGGACACGGCCCAGACUCCUACGGGAGGCAGCAGUGGGGAAUUUUGGACAAUGGGCGAAAGCCUGAUCCAGCAAUGCCGCGUGUGUGAAGAAGGCCUUCGGGUUGUAAAGCACUUUUGUCCGGAAAGAAAUCCUUGGCUCUAAUACAGUCGGGGGAUGACGGUACCGGAAGAAUAAGCACCGGCUAACUACGUG